UCAAAAUUAUUUAUUUAUUUAUUUAUUUAUUUAUUUAUUUAUUUAUUUAUUUAUUUUUGAGACAGGAUCUCACUCUGUUACCCAGGCUGGAGUGCAGUGGCAUGAUCAUGGCUCACUGCAGCCUCGACCUCCCCCGGCUCAGGUGAUCCUCCCACCUCAGCCUCCCUAGUAGCAGGGACUACAGGCACACCACCAUGUGUGGCUAAUUUUUGUAUUUUUUUAGAGACAGGAUUUUGCCAUGUUCCCCGGGCUGGUCUCAGACUCCUGGGUUCAAGUGAUCCACCUGCCUCGGCCUCCCAAAGUGCUAGGAUUACAGGCAUCAGCCACUGAUCCCAGCCUCAAAUUUAGUAUCAAGUAAAAUUUGUAAAAAUUAAAAUCUGAAUUCUCAGUGCUGCUUUUGAAGAGAAUAUUUUAUCCAGAAGGAUAAGUUGACUCACCACCAGUCAUACUGCCUGUCCCUUCUAGAAGCUCCUUAGGCCCAAGCUUCUUUUUUUUUUUUUCUUUUUUUUUUUUAGACAGUCUCACUCUGUCGCCCAGGCUGGAGUGUAGUGGCACAAUCUUGGCUCACUGCAACCUCCACCUCCCAGAUUUAAGCAAUUCUCCUGCCUCAGCCUCCCAAGUAGCUGGGAUUAUAGGCAUGUGCCACCACACCCGGCUAAUUUUUGUAUUUUUAGUAGAGACAAGGUUUCACCAUGUGGGCCAGGCUAGUCUGGAACUCCUGACCUCAAGUGAUCCACCCACUUUGGCCUCUUUUGUAGAGACUGGGUCUCAGUAUGUUGCCCAGGCUGGUCUUGAACCCCUUGGCUCAAGCGAUCCUCCCUCCUUGACCUCCG
rnacentral:lncRNA from 1 species